UAUGCUAUAAUCACAUGAUAGCACCUCCCACUGUGCCCUACAUAUAGUACAAUCAACCUUCCCCAGCCACUCCAGCUGCUUCCCGUUAUCUGUUGUGAAGCAGCAGCUGCUGCAGCGGCGAUAGCCCAAGUCCUGUGAGUCAGUCAAUGGCACAGAGCCCUCAUCCCUGGCUAAAGCUGCAAGGUAAAGAACAAGAUUGCUUUUAAAAGGGGUGGCCCAAUUUCAAUUGUUCUGCACAUAGAUAAUGAUUGCACUGCAAAUAAUCCUAAAACUGAGCAUUGCUUCCCUGAGUGCAGAGAAUCACACCACGUAUCACCAACAGGUAAAUUACAAUUAAGGGCCUUUGACCACUGAGAACAUGGAGGAGGAAGGCAGCAGCUUAACACCAAAGCAAAUACCUGAAAAGAUUUGAGCAACUGAGCUUGAUUUAACACUUAAUCAGAUCCAGAAGAGCUCUGACCUACAUAAUCACAGCAUCCCUGGGCUGCAGGCACAGCCAGUUGAACAGCCAUGCAGCCACACGGUAAGAGGGUUUAAUGUGCUGAACGUGAGGGAGCAGCAUCCUGAACACAGCCCUGCAUCUGCUCAGUCUCAGAUUCCUUUCUUGCUUGCUUCACUCGGGCAAAAAUUAAUGUGUCCCCCCCUCUUUAGAGCACCUCGCAUUCUACUUUGACAGAGAAACAGGAUUUUUUUUUUUAGCUGCUAGUGGUGAUUUAGAGACUAUGGAGAUAACACAUUGAUUGUUUUUCUAUACAAAUGUGAUGUGGGGUUGUCAAAGUCUAAUGACAAUCAGGAUUGAAAGAGCUCAGCUUUGCUCCAUCAACAAGUUGGAAAAAUCCACAGAACUCAUCUUGGGCUCAGUGAACCAGGGAGAGCAAGCCAGGGAAAGAGCCAGGUAGGACCAUGGAAUCUGAAAAAGAACCUCAUUAACAUGUAGGGGAAAAUGAGACUUGCUGCAAAAAUAAUCCUUUUUUUCAGGAAUACAAAAGAUGAGGGACAUUUUUUAAAACAAGAAGCCACAUCAAAUUUGAAAAUAAUUGAACUGACUGGUGUAAAACCAGGAAAUAUCAGAAUUAUUCAUGUAAGAGAUGGUAGAAAGACCCUGGCAAGCUCAAAGGCUUGGGCCACUGGUUUUUAGAGCAGUCUUGGAACAAUGCAGCAGCAGAAGAGGAAAAUUCUUGUUCUCAGUAAAAGUCUGAAAAAGCUAAUUAUAUGAAAAAGCUAAUUAUAUAAAAAAACCUAAUUAUUGCAUUUCCACUUAAUCAAAAUUUGUAUUAAAGCAGCAUCCUUGAGAAGCUGUCACUUUUCAUACAAGUUGUACCCCAGCAAUGCAAAAUGGUGGGUGGCAAAACCCAGCAGUGAGAGUCUAGGUCAGAGAAUCAGACUCCUAGAAUAGUUUGGGUUGGCAGGGACCUUAAAGCUCUUCCAGUUCUAAUGCUCUGCUGUGGACUAGACCAGAUUGCUCAAGGUCCCAUUCAACCUGGCCAUGAACUCUUGCAGGAUGGGGCAGCCACAGCUUCUCCAGGCAACCUGUGCCAGGGCCUCACCAUGCUCAUAGGCAAGAAUUUCUUCUCAAUAUCCAGUCUAGUCCUGCUCUGUUUAAAGCCAUUCUCUCUUGUCCUGUCACUCCAGGCCCCUGUCCCAAGGCCCUUUCCAGUUCUUUUGUAGUCCCUUUAGGCAUUGGAAGGGGCUCUCAGGUCUCCUUGGAGCUUUCUCCAGGUGAACACCCCCAGCCUGGCUCCAGCCCUCAGAGCAUCUCCAUGUCUUCUUCUGAUCUUGCUCCAGCAGAUCCACACCCUUCUUGUAUUGGAGAUCCCAGACCUAGACACAGCAUGGCAGGUGGGACUCAGAGCAGAGUAGAUACCAGUGGACUGACAAAGCCCAAUAACUAAAUCCUGUCAAGCUGACACCAAGUGAGAUUUUUUUAUCAGCUUCUAUUUCUUCCUCUAACAGCACUCCCAUUCCCCUUACAUAACAGCAGGUAUUUGAGAUCAUUUAAAAAAACUGAAGAUGAAGAGGAGGAAGAUUGAAAAUAGAAAUACCUACCUCGAACCUAUUUGCAGCACUUAUUUGCUAAUCAAACCGUCACUCCACCUCCCCAUAUUUAAACAGUGAUUUCUGUAUCAGUUCUGGCCUGGCAUCCUCUGAAAUCAUCUGGAGCGCUCUGGAGGAGCCAAGCCCGGAUCCUCUGGCUGCUGCGGGUGAGGGCCACCCACCUCCGGCCACAUUAGAGCCAGUGCACGCCAGCCUUGCCGACACCAGAGGCGGGCCCGGCCCUGCCGGGUCACGACGCGCCGGUCCCGACAGACGUGGCAGUGCCACGCGGUGGCGCCGGGACUCGCUCCGAGGGACGGGAGCCGCCGGCGAGCUCAGCCCCGCAGAGAUACGCUCCGAGCAGUCCAAGAAAAGCGUACACUUUCUGAAGCUGUGGCACCCCCUCCCCUGGGCAUUGUCCCCGCUCCAGUAGCAGCCGGCUGUCUUCCUCUUCCCCGAGGACAAACACAGAAGCGGAAAAGGAGCAGAGCUGCCUGGAAAGUGGGUCAAGUGCGGUAUGAAACACCCACCAUAGAAUAUUCCCAAGCAGGGCUUCUUCAGCCGCACCCCCUGCCCCCCAUUUUCCUUAAAAAAGAAAGAAGCGAAUAGCGUAGCCAUCACUGCCGACUCCUGCGCUGAUGGCCACAAUAAAGAUUUUUCACAGCAAGGUUUAGGGUUAGGCUGGAUGUGGGGGGUGUUUUCUCAAACUCCUGAAAAAUCAAGGCAGUUGGGAGCCAAGCUAAAGCCUUUCAGCCCAAUCGAUCGUGCAAUUAUCAAUGUAAACAGGACACUCCUCUUUUACAGUUCAGCACUUUCAGAUUUAAAUGCAUAAUCUGGGAAAAAACUUACCAAGUUAUUGAAAUUAAAAACCAAGUAAACUAAAGCAACAAAAACAAACCAAAAAAACCUAAACUCCAAAAACCCAGAUGUGUUUGGGAGGAAUCUACUGAGGAAGAUGUAUACAGAAGUCAAGACAACCAAAAGCAAAGAUUUAGUUUAAUUUAUACAACCUUGUGCAAUGAUAUGAGUAGCUGCAAAAUGGAGAAAAAUGGAGAGUGUUCUCAAAAUCACUUUCCUGCAAGUUCUCAUGCAGGAUGCUCACCCUGAUCACACUGCACCUCUUCCAUCACCAGUUCCAGGUACUAUUAGUGACUAAUAUUUUAUACAUUGUUUAUUCCAACAGCAAUCAUUUCAGUCUUCAUCCCAAAAUUCUGUUCACCAGAGAGUAAUUAGGAGAUCAAUAUUCAACCCAUCUUUAAGAAUAAAGCUUUUAAGCUGCAGCAUAGGUUUUAAAAGGCUAAAACAUGCAGUACUGCCUAAUUUAACACCAAAAGUGUUGUUCCAGCCUUUCUUUCUUGUCCAUGUGCCAAAGCACUCUGGGGUCCCUUGCUCAAGAAAGCAGCCUGCCUUUAUUCUCAUCCAAAAGGAGUACAGCCAAAUGAAUUAGAGCACCAAAAUAACUUUUUGUAAAACCACAGAAGGCUGACUCUUGUACUGCUGACUCUGCAGAGCUUCGUUGGUGUGUUCAUGAGUACUGAAAGAUUGCUACACAGUCCGGUGUGAUUUUUACUUAACAUUUUACCUGUUUCCCACUUUCUCCCAGAACACUUUGCAGAACACCAGCACUCUGUGUUAUGAUUGUUGUGGCACACAGAAGGCAUCCAACACCUUAUACAAGGCUUCAAAAAUCACUGCUUGCAGACAUUUUGCUCCAAAAAUCCAAGCUCAUACAAACCAUGGUUUGGUUGCAAAAAACAUGGAACACAUAAAAGCCAUUUCUCAGGCAAAGAUUGCUCUAACCUACACAGCAACCCUUAAAACACAUUAAGGGUUUCCAGGAGUGAUCUGUAUCCAGACAAAACCACCAGCAAUUAGAGCAGUAAAUGAGUGUGGAACAGGUGCAUAAGGAGGUAAUGAGAGUGGAGGCACACCUUCAAUGCACUGAAUUUGGAGCAGCAUUUAAUUUGAAAUUCAAAGUUGUGAUCACACUUGCAUUUUCAUACCACCAUUUUUCCUGAGAGAACAAGAGUACUUGUUCUUCAGCCCCCUCCCAAAGUCACAGCACCUCCAAGAGCAGGAACUGCACUCCACUAUUAUUAAAGAAACAAAGAGGUGAGAGGGGAAAAAGCAUGUGUUUAUUGGAAAGGCCCAAAAUAAACCCAGCACUAUCAUAGCAGGCUUGGUUUCAUCUUGUACAGGAGGAAAUCCUUUAUGCUUAAGAGUCAGGAUAAAUUUUUUGUCAGAGCAAAGACUUUGUCCCAAGUCCCUUGAAACAAUUGCUUUCUAGAAAGGACUCAAGUGCUUCAGUUUACUACAAAAUCAAAAUCCAUGCAACAUGGAGUGGUAGGUAUUGGCACCUCUCAGCAGGUUUUUCUGUUACUAGAAGAGCUUUUGACAGGAACCGGACUAAGGCACAGGCAGGUAAAAUUUCACAGCUUCCACUGGCAGGAUGUCCCCUCACCACCUUUUUCACAGGGCAGAAUGUGUUGUUACCAUCCAGACACAUGGGGAAGGAAGUAAUGCUCUAUCUACACACUCACAUGCACCCAGUAUCUUGCCAGGGUACUAUCACAAGACCUAAAUGAGGUAACAUUGCCCAAGCACUUGGAGCAGGGAUACUGAGUGUGAAUGGAAGUGUUAGCAGCUAGAAACGACCCAAAAUGAGCACCAGGUGACAGUCACACACACUGAUUACCUUGGACAAACAUCCAUCUACAGUGGCAGCUUCAGGGAUGGAGCAGGGACUGGGACAGCAACCAGCCCCAAGCUCCAGGGAUCUGUGAAGAGGGGGCCAUAAGCACAGGAACAAAGCACACAAUGGAAAGAGGCAGAAGAAAGGUGUAGAAAGAGGGUAAAGGGGGAAAAAAUCUGGCAAAUUCAUACACCUCUGUAUGUGUGUAAUACAAAUUUUGUCUCUUGUUUUUGAUUUAAUGGAUCCUCAGUUCAGGACAGGCCUGCCACAGUUUAGGGUGCUCACUUUGACAUGAUACGGCCAAUGACUUAUGCAAAACGAAAUAUGGAAAGCUCAAAACUGUCCCCCUUUGUCCAUCAGUAUUCUCCUGGGUCUAUAAAAGUUCUGAGAAAGAAGAAAAAAAGAAAAAUAACAGCUCAUGGAAAAGUGAUUUAAUUUCAUUCCCAACUUAAUUUCAUUCCCAACUACCUUCUCAUAACCUAAACCCCAAUGUCAGCCCUCCUCACUAGGAGUGGGGUGUGACAUUUCCACUUAAACACUGAACCACCACACUAUGGGAUUUCCAGCUCUGCCUCUAUUUUGUACUUCAUGGAAUGCACCAGGCAUUGUAGAAAUGGAGGAAUUACUAGUGAUCUCCAAAACCUGCUCAUUUCUCUGCAGCCACCAGGCUCACAGGCUGAAGUAAACGAAGUUUAGCGCAGGUGAACUAAUUAAUCAGCCAUCAGUAAAUCAAACCCCAAUUAUCUUUA